rnacentral:rRNA from 1 species
GAUGAACGCUGGCGGCGUGCCUAAUACAUGCAAGUCGAGCGAACGGACGAGAAGCUUGCUUCUCUGAUGUUAGCGGCGGACGGGUGAGUAACACGUGGAUAACCUACCUAUAAGACUGGGAUAAUUUCGGGAAACCGGAGCUAAUACCGGAUGAUAUUUUGAACCGCAUGGUUCAAAAGUGAAAGACGGUCUUGCUGUCACGUAUAGAUGGAUCCGCGCUGCAUUAGCUAGUUGGUAAGGUAACGGCUUACCAAGGCAACGAUGCAUAGCCGACGUGAGAGGGGGAUCGGCCGCACUGGAACUGAGACGCGGUCCAUACUCCUGCGGGAGGCAGCAGACGGGAAUCGUCCGCAAUGGGAGAAAGCCUGACGGAGCAACGCCGCGUGAGUGAUGAAGGUCUUCGGAUCGUAAAACUCUGUUAUGAGGGAAGAACAUAUGUGUAAUUAACUGUGCACAUCGUGACGGUACCUAAUCAGAAAGCCGCGGCUAACUACGUG